AGCGGAGGAAAAGAAACUAACAAGGAUUCCGCCGUAGGUAACCKUSACGAGCGAACCGGGAAUAGCCCAACGUGUAAAUCUCCCUCGGAGAAUUGUAGUCUACAGAAGCAACUUCUGCAACGGCCGGACCUCAAGUCCCCUGGAAGGGGGCGUCAGAGAGGGUGAGAACCCCGUCGGGUCUUGGUGCGGUUGCCUCACGAAGUGCUCUCCAAGAGUCGGGUUGUUUGGGAAUGCAGCCCAAAUUUGGUGGUAAAUCCCAUCUAAGGCUAAAUAUUGGCGAGAGACCGAUAGCGAACAAGUACCGUGAGGGAAAGAUGAAAAGAACUUUGAAAAGAGAGUUAAAAAGUGCUUGAAAUUGUUGAGGGGGAAGCGAUUGGCAGCUGUGUGUGCACCUAGGCUUACGUCGCCUUAACGGGCGGCUGCAUGUGCUAGGUGCUGGUCAGCAUGGGUUAGCCUGGCAGGAUAAACGCAGGGGUUGUUACCCUGUCUAUACUGCCGGGUUGACCGAGGUGUGAAGGCCGSUCUUGUCCCUCGGGAUCUGCGGCCUCAAGAUGCUGGCGGAAGGCUUUCAAUCGGCCCGUCUUGAAACACGGACCAAGGAGUCUAACAUGUAUGCGAGCUGGUGGGUGGCAAACCCAUGAGGCGCAAGUAACCUGACUGGUGGGAUGGCGUAAGCCUGCACCAUCGACCGACCAUGAUCUUCUGUGAAAGGUUCGAGUACGAGCAUACCUGUUGGGACCCGAAAGAUGGUGAACUAUGCCUGAGCAGGGCGAAGCCAGAGGAAACUCUGGUGGAGGCUCGUAGAUGUGCUGACGUGCAAAUCGCUUUUCGGACGCUUAGGGUAUAGGGGCGAAAGACUAAUCGAACCUUCUAGUA
rnacentral:rRNA from 1 species